rnacentral:rRNA from 1 species
UACGUAGGUGGCGAGCGUUGUCCGGAAUUACUGGGUGUAAAGCGCGUGUAGGCGGCAGGCCAAGUCGGUGGUGAAAGCGCCCGGCUCAACUGGGCGAGGUCCAUGGAAACUGGUCAGCUGGAGGACGGUAGAGGCGAGUGGAAUUCCCGGUGUAGUGGUGAAAUGCGUAGAGAUCGGGAGGAACACCUGUGGCGGAAGGCGGCUCGCUGGGCCGGUCCUGACGCUGAAACGCGAAGGCGUGGGGAGCGAACGGG